UACGUAGGUGGCAAGCGUUGUCCGGAUUUACUGGGCGUAAAGAGCGCGCAGGCGGUUAAUUAAGUCGAAUGUGAAAGCCCCCGGCUCAACUGGGGAGGGUCAUUCGAUACUGAUUGACUUGAAGGCAGGAGAGGGUAGUGGAAUUCCCGGUGUAGUGGUGAAAUGCGUAGAUAUCCGGAGGAACACCGGUGGCGAAGGCGGCUUCCUGGACCGACACUGACGCUGAGGCGCGAAAGCUAGGGGAGCAAACAGG
rnacentral:rRNA from 1 species